UGGCUCAGAACGAACGCUGGCGGCGCGUUUAAGCAUGCAAGUCGAGCGGCAAGGGCCUUCGGGCCCCUAGAGCGGCGGACGGGUGAGUAACACGUGGACAAUCUGCCCCCCGGCCCGGGAUAGCCCAGGGAAACCUGGAUUAAUACCGGAUGAGGCGGGACCCGCGAUGGCGGGACCCGGGAAAGGCGCUGCGGCGCCGCCGGGGGAUGAGUCUGCGUCCCAUUAGCUAGACGGCGGGGUAACGGCCCACCGUGGCGACGAUGGGUAGCCGGCCUGAGAGGGUGGACGGCCACAUUGGAACUGAGACACGGUCCAGACUCCUACGGGAGGCAGCAGCUAAGAAUCUUCCGCAAUGGGCGAAAGCCUGACGGAAGCGACGCCGCGUGAACGAAGAAGGCCGUGAGGUUGUAAAGUUCUUUUCGGGAGGGGGAACAACCGUGGCAGGGAAUGGCCGCGGGAUGACGUGAAUCCCGGAAUAAGCCCCGGCUAACUACGUGCCAGCCGCGGC
rnacentral:rRNA from 1 species